rnacentral:rRNA from 1 species
UAAGGAAUAUUGGACAAUGGGCGAAAGCCUGAUCCAGCCAUGCCGCGUGAGUGAUGAAGGCCUUCGGGUUGUAAAACUCUUUUAGAUGUGAAGAUGAUGACGGUAGCAUCAGAAAAAGCUCCGGCUAACUUCGUGCCAGCAGCCGCGGUAAUACGAAGGGAGCGAGCGUUGUUCGGAAUCACUGGGCUUAAAGGGUGCGUAGGCGGAUGUGUAAGUAAGAAGUGAAAGCCCAGGGCUCAACCCUGGAAUUGCUUUUUAGACUGCACGUCUUGAAUUCGGUAGAGGUUAGUGGAAUAUCCAGUGUAGAGGUGAAAUUCGCAGAUAUUGGAUGGAACAUCAGUGGCGAAGGCGACUAACUGGACCGAUAUUGACGCUGAGGCACGAAAGCGUGGGUAGCAAACAGGAUUAGAUACCCCCGUAGUCC